rnacentral:rRNA from 1 species
GAGGGCCCGCACAGGCAGCGGAGCGUGUGGUUUAAUUCGAUGCUACACGAAGAACCUUACCAGGGUUUGACAUGCAAGUGGUAGGAACCGAAAGGCGACCGACCCUUCGGGGAGCUUGCACAGGUGCUGCAUGGCUGUCGUCAGCUCGUGUCGUGAGAUGUUCGGUUAAGUCCGCUAACGAGCGCAACCCUCGCUGUGUGUUACAAGUGUCACACGGUACUGCCGGUCUUAAGCCGGAGGAAGGUGGGGAUGACGUCAAGUCAGCAUGGCCUUUAUGUCCUGGGCUACACACACGCUACAAUGGCCAACACAAUAGGUUGCUAAGCCGCGAGGUGGAGCCAAUCCUCAAAGUUGGUCUCAGUUCAGAUUGCAGGCUGCAACCCGCCUGCAUGAAGAUGGAGUUGCUAGUAACCGCAGGUCAGCUAUACUGCGGUGAAUACGUUCCCGGGGCUU